rnacentral:tRNA from 1 species
CCUGGUGGCUCAGAGGCUAAAGCGUCUGCCUCCAGUGCAGGAGACCUGGGUUCGAUCCCUGGAUCAGGA